ACUUUGCUUUAAAAUGGCGGGUCGGACGAAGUCUUCGGGCUUAGUGGCGGACGGGUGAGUAACGCUUGGGAAUCUGCCUGUUAGUGGGGGACAACCCGGGGAAACUCGGGCUAAUACCGCAUACGCACUACGGUGGAAAGCCGGGGACCGCAAGGCCUGGCGCUAACAGAUGAGCCCAAGUCGGAUUAGCUAGUUGGUAGGGUAACGGCCUACCAAGGCGACGAUCCGUAACUGGUCUGAGAGGACGACCAGUCACACCGGAACUGAGACACGGUCCGGACUCCUACGGGAGGCAGCAGUGGGGAAUAUUGGACAAUGGGGGAAACCCUGAUCCAGCGACGCCGCGUGGGUGAAGAAGGCCUGCGGGUUGUAAAGCCCUUUCAGUGGGGAAGAAAAGCCUCGAGCUAAUACCUCGGGGUCUUGACGUAACCCAUAGAAGAAGCACCGGCUAACUCUGUGCCAGCAGCCGCGGUAAUA
rnacentral:rRNA from 1 species